UACGGAGGGUGCAAACGUUGCUCGGAAUCAUUGGGCGUAAAGCGCACGUAGGCGGCUCGUUAAGUCGGAUGUGAAAGCCCUCGGCUCAACCGAGGAAGUGCAUACGAAACUGGCGAGCUUGAAUAUGGAAGAGGGUCGCGGAAUUCCCGGUGUAGAGGUGAAAUUCGUAGAUAUCGGGAGGAACACCAGUGGCGAAGGCGGCGACCUGGGCCAAUG
rnacentral:rRNA from 1 species